rnacentral:lncRNA from 1 species
UUCACCGUGUUGGCCAGGAUGGUCUCCAUCUCCUGACAUUGUGAUCUGCACUUACAGGAGGCAGGGUCAAGGAAAGGACAAGAUAGAAGCAGAGGUGGAGAAAGAGGGUGAGGUGAGUGGGAGAAGAGGGGACGGCGGGACAGAGGCCUUGUGACAGAAAAGGGAACAAGAACUCAGGGUUUUACGUUGUACCCACAGGUGCAGAGCUGAGAAAAGGAAAGAGAAAUGAAGAACGGCAACUCGGAGGGAGGAGACGGUGGGGGUGGCGCGGGCACCGGGUGCAGGCUGAGAAAGCGAGAGGGCGGUCCGGCCAGGGGGUGGGGGUGCUGCAACCAGCUCUGGUCACGCCCCUUCUCCUGAGAGCUCCCAGGACUGCAGGCAACUUGCUGAAGAACUUGGGUAAUUUCCCGGAGGCCGGCUCACCUGUUUCCAGCCCAUCAGUGAUCUUGAAACUUACAAAUACUCAGACUCACACUUUCCGCCUAUCCGUGCAAGGAAUGGCACGAAGAGCCGACACGCACGGUGAGCAGCUGCCUUCUGCAGAUGGAACGCCUCACCUGGGACGCCUCACCUGGGACGCCUCACCUGGGACGCAGGCGUUCCUGUUCCUAGUCACGCCCUGAGCCCUGGAUUCCUGCCCAAGCUCACAUAGCAGGGACUGGCCCAGCCCCAUUCACUCAUGCAUGUCUGACCCCAAGGCAGGGCUGGUGGCCUCUAAAUCCUCCCGCUAGGGUUUCAGCGCCUGGCUGCGUUGAAGGUAUCACCUUUUCUACGAACACCUGUUCUGAACAGUGAAAAUAGCUAUUCCUAACAGAGGAGUUGCAAGCUCCAGGGAUCUGUGUGUGCGUUGGGGAGAGUGGAGUACAUCAUUUCUGGAAAACGGGGCCUCAAAACGUAGCGCCGUUUACAGAUGAGAAAAGAUGCAUUUAGAGGCUUGAACUGGAAUGGGCUGUACACAGGACUGCCUUGCCAGACAGCGGCUCAGAAGUCUUCAAAAACGUUUGAAGAUGCCCCGUUAAAAGCGUUUGGUUAUCUGUUGGUAACAGUGCUGGUCUGCUCAGCCUGCCUUAACAGAAUACCACAGACUGGGUGGCCUAAGCAAGAGAAAUUCACUUUCUCACAGUGCUGGACACUGGAAGUCUGAGAUCAAGGUGCCAGCAGGGUUGGUUUCUGGUGAGGCUCUUCUACCUUCCUUGCAGGUGGCCACCUCCUGGCUGUGUCCUCAAAUGGCCUUUACUUCCAUGCACGUGAACCUGGUGUCUCUUCCUCUUCUUACAAGGACACCAGUGCUGUGGGAUCAGGUCCCCACCCUCAUGGUCUUAUUUAAAAUUGCCUCCUUAAGAUUCCUCAAAUAAAUAAAAAUUGAGCU